rnacentral:rRNA from 1 species
AUCCUGGCUCAGGAUGAACGCUGGCGGCGUGCCUAAUACAUGCAAGUCGAGCGAAUGGAUUAAGAGCUUGCUCUUAUGAAGUUAGCGGCGGACGGGUGAGUAACACGUGGGUAACCUGCCCAUAAGACUGGGAUAACUCCGGGAAACCGGGGCUAAUACCGGAUAAUAUUUUGAACCGCAUGGUUCGAAAUUGAAAGGCGGCUUCGGCUGUCACUUAUGGAUGGACCCGCGUCGCAUUAGCUAGUUGGUGAGGUAACGGCUCACCAAGGCAACGAUGCGUAGCCGACCUGAGAGGGUGAUCGGCCACACUGGGACUGAGACACGGCCCAGACUCCUACGGGAGGCAGCAGUAGGGAAUCUUCCGCAAUGGACGAAAGUCUGACGGAGCAACGCCGCGUGAGUGAUGAAGGCUUUCGGGUCGUAAAACUCUGUUGUUAGGGAAGAACAAGUGCUAGUUGAAUAAGCUGGCACCUGACGG